rnacentral:rRNA from 1 species
GACGAACGCUGGCGGCGUGCUUAACACAUGCAAGUCGAACGGUAAGGCCCUUCGGGGUACACGAGUGGCGAACGGGUGAGUAACACGUGGGUGAUCUGCCCUGCACUUCGGGAUAAGCCUGGGAAACUGGGUCUAGUACCGGCAAGGCCCACCGCCUGCAUGGGGGGUGGUGGAAGGCUUUUGCGGUGUGGGAUGGGCCCGCGGCCUAUCAGCUUGUUGGUGGGGUGAUGGCCUACCAAGGCGACGACGGGUAGCCGGCCUGAGAGGGUGACCGGCCACACUGGGACUGAGAUACGGCCCAGACUCCUACGGGAGGCAGCAGUGGGGAAUAUUGCACAAUGGGCGCAAGCCUGAUGCAGCGACGCCGCGUGAGGGAUGACGGCCUUCGGGUUGUAAACCUCUUUCAGCACCGACGAAGCGCAAGUGACGGUAGGUGCAGAAGAAGGACCGGCCAACUACGUGCCAGCCGCCGCCGUAA